GACGAACGCUGGCGGCGUGCUUAACACAUGCAAGUCGAACGCUGAUGGCCCAGCUUGCUGGGUUGGAUGAGUGGCGAACGGGUGAGUAACACGUGAGUAACCUGCCCUCUUCUUUGGGAUAACGGUCGGAAACGGCUGCUAAUACCGGGUAUUCACUGUCCUUCGCAUGGGGGGUGGUGGAAAGGUUUUUUCUGGUGGGGGAUGGGCUCGCGGCCUAUCAGCUUGUUGGUGGGGUGAUGGCUUACCAAGGCUUUGACGGGUAACCGGCCUGAGAGGGUGACCGGUCACAUUGGGACUGAGAUACGGCCCAGACUCCUACGGGAGGCAGCAGUGGGGAAUAUUGCACAAUGGGCGAAAGCCUGAUGCAGCGACGCCGCGUGAGGGAUGGAGGCCUUCGGGUUGUAAACCUCUUUCGCUCAUGGUCAAGCCGCAACAGUGGUUGUGGUGAGGGUAGUGGGUAAAGAAGCACCGGCUAACUACGUGCCAGCAGCCGCGGUAAUACGUAGGGUGCGAGCGUUGUCCGGAAUUAUUGGGCGUAAAGGGCUUGUAGGCGGUUUGUCGCGUCUGCCGUGAAAUCCUCUGGCUUAACUGGGGGCGUGCGGUGGGUACGGGCAGGCUUGAGUGCGGUAGGGGAGACUGGAGCUCCUGGUGUAGCGGUGGAAUGCGCAGAUAUCAGGAAGAACACCGGUGGCGAAGGCGGGUCUCUGGGCCGUUACUGACGCUGAGGAGCGAAAGCGUGGGGAGCGAACAGG
rnacentral:rRNA from 1 species